rnacentral:tRNA from 1 species
GCCUUUGUGGUGUAACGGUUAGCACGCUCGGUGCGUAUAGAACACUCGAGAGGUCCAGGUUCGAGUCCUGGCGAGGGCA